AUUUUCUCAUGACCUUUUGGGUAAGAUCAAGCAUAAUAUAUGUUCUUAUCAGUUUAAUAGGCUGUUCACUGCUUUGGGGGCCUUUAGGCUGAAAAGCAGUUUAUAUAAACAAAUUGUAGUCGUAAUAAUACAAUGGUUGUAAGGAUUUGGGGAUAGAUUUAGACUCCCAGUAGGGAUGAAUGCCUAUUGAUAGACAGUGCUGCUUUAAAGCAUUGUACUGUUAAAUUUCC
rnacentral:snRNA from 1 species